rnacentral:rRNA from 1 species
UACAGAGGUCUCAAGCGUUGUUCGGAUUCAUUGGGCGUAAAGGGUGCGUAGGCGGCGCGGUAAGUCGGGUGUGAAAUCUCGGAGCUUAACUCCGAAACUGCAUUCGAUACUGCCGUGCUUGAGGACUGGAGAGGAGACUGGAAUUUACGGUGUAGCGGUGAAAUGCGUAGAUAUCAGAAGGAACAUCAGUGGCGAAGGCGGCUUUCUGGACCAAUACUGACGAUCAGGUGCGAAAGCGUGGGGAGCAAACAGG